rnacentral:rRNA from 1 species
UACGUAGGGUGCAAGCGUUAAUCGGAAUUACUGGGCGUAAAGCGUGCGCAGGCGGUUUUGUAAGUCUGUCGUGAAAUCCCCGGGCUCAACCUGGGAAUUGCGAUGGAGACUGCAAGGCUAGAAUCUGGCAGAGGGGGGUAGAAUUCCACGUGUAGCAGUGAAAUGCGUAGAGAUGUGGAGGAACACCGAUGGCGAAGGCAGCCCCCUGGGUCAAGAUUGACGGCUCAUGCACGAAAGCGUGGGGAGCAAACGAGGAUUACGAAC